AGUGAACGCUGGCGGUAGGCCUAACACAUGCAAGUCGAACGGCAGCACAGUAAGAGCUUGCUCUUACGGGUGGCGAGUGGCGGACAGGUGAGGAAUACAUCGGAAUCUACUUUUUCGUGGGGGAUAACGUAGGGAAACUUACGCUAAUACCGCAUACGACCUACGGGUGAAAGCAGGGGAUCUUCGGACCUUGCGCGAUUGAAUGAGCCGAUGUCGGAUUAGCUAGUUGGCGGGGUAAAGGCCCACCAAGGCGACGAUCCGUAGCUGGUCUGAGAGGAUGAUCAGCCACACUGGAACUGAGACACGGUCCAGACUCCUACGGGAGGCAGCAGUGGGGAAUAUUGGACAAUGGGCGCAAGCCUGAUCCAGCCAUACCGCGUGGGUGAAGAGGGCCUUCGGGUUGUAAAGCCCUUUUGUUGGGAAAGAAGAGCAGCAGGUUAAUACCCCGCUGUUCUGACGGUACCCAAAGAAUAAGCACCGGCGAACUUCGU
rnacentral:rRNA from 1 species